rnacentral:misc_RNA from 1 species
CAGAGUUGCAAAACUCCCUAAACCAUUGUGAACGUUACCUUCAAACCGUUGCUUCGGCGGGCGGCCCGGGUCCGCCCGGUGCCCCCUGGCCCCCUUGCGGGGCGCCCGCCGGAGGAAAACCCAACUCUUGAUUAUUAUGGCCUCUCUGAGUCUUCUGUACUGAAUAAGUCA